rnacentral:misc_RNA from 1 species
UUUUGUUUUGCUUUCGAGUGCUUUGUUGUGCUCGGAGCAUGUUUGGGCUUCGCUGCUGGCGCUUGAUUGUGCUGGCGGCUCGAGGCCAUCAAGCGGCGUUUUGAGUGUGUGUUCGCAUACAAUUAAAACGUCCAAACCUUUUAAACCCAUUUGAUUGAAAACUGAAGUAUACUGUGGGGACGAAAGUCCUCGCUUUGAAACUAGAUAACAACUUUCAGCAGUGGAUGUCUAGGCUCGCACAUCGAUGAAGAACGCUGCGAACUGCGAUACGUAAUGCGAAUUGCAGGAUUCAGUGAGUCAUCGAACUUUUGAACGCAUAUUGCACUUUCGGGUUACGCCUGGAAGUAUGUCUGUAUCAGUGUCCGUACACUAAACUUGCGUCUCUUCCGUCGUGUAGUCGUCGGUUGUUUGAUUGCAGAUGUGAGGUUGUCUCGCGAUCCGUUGCUUGUCGACAGGGUUGCGAGUCCCUUUAAAGUCGGACGCGUGUUUUUCCGUUUUGUGCUUGAUGGGGUGCGGCUGCGGCCGUGUCUGCUGGCGGGUCCGGUGACCUUUGGCGAUGGCAUGAGAGUGGAUUGCUCGAUUUGCGGUAUGUUAGGCUUCGGCUUUGACAAUGCAGCUUAUUGUGUAUGUUCGCUUGGCUGUUGCUGUAUGGGUGAGCUGGAUGGUUGGUGGGUGCGUUGUUGCGUGUCGUUUUCAUCGAG